UGUCUCUGCCCUGCCAGGUGCCCAACACGCCUGGCAUCAUCACCAGCCUGGUGCGCUUCUGGCUGUUCUGGAGGUUCCCCAUGCCCCAGGAGGAGCCGUCCUAUAGGCUGCUGCAGAUCUGAGGGGGCGGGGCCCAGCCUCAUCAUGACACUGUCACCAUGGACACGGGCUGACCCGCUGGAACUGCCGAGCUGAUUGCCGUGGCGACAAGGUGUUGGGAAUGAGAAAGCCCAGAAAGCUACCAAAGAGAUUGUAUGACUGAUCGGGAACACACUCGGCCCACCAGAGGGAGGACUGGCACGGCUCUCACUGACAGCACACACAGACAGAGGGGGCGCUGUUCUCCUCCUGAUCCACACUACAGCCCCACAGCAGAGCUGAGGCACCAGAGGGAGGACUGGUGCAGCUCUCACUGACUGCACACACAGACACAGGGGGCGCUGUUCUCCUCCUCUGACACCUGCACUGUCAGGACAACAGCUCCUCUUCCACACUGCAGCCCCACAGCAGAGCUGAGGACUGGCGCAGCUCUCACUGACAGCACACACACAGACUGCAGGAGCCCUGGACAAACACAGGGGGCGCUGUUCUCCUCCUCUGACACCCACACUGUCAGGACAACAACUCCUCUUCCACACUGCAGCCCCACAGCAGAGCUGAGGACUGGUGCAGCUCUCACUGACAGCACACACACAUGCUGCAGGAGCCCUGGACAGACACAGAGAGGUGCUGGUUUUUCCUCCUCUCCUCAGACCACGUUUAAAAACAUAGGUUGUCAUGUAGUUUUCAAAACUAAUUUUUGAAGUGUCAGGAGUGGAGAUAAGGGGAUACACUCUCUGACACACACCCUUCUGUAUCAGAAAAAUGCAAAUAUUUUUUUACUGUCUGCCUGGGGACUUCCAGUCUGCUGCUCUUGUGCCUGCAAGCCGUCUGGCAUGUUUUUAAAAACGUGUUUUUAACCCACCAUCUGUCUGUGUGUUCCAAAGAUUCAUUAUUCUGAACAGAUUAAAUUUUUAAAUAUAUUUUUAUACUGAAAACAACAGGGCUCAGGUUUGGGGGUUUUCAUUCAUUUGAUAUGUAUCAACUUUUUAGACUAGUAAAUCCUUUUCAGCCUUUGAGAAACUGGUUAUUAAAUUUCUUUUCUGGCCAUAAACCAUUUUACAGUCUGGGAUGUUACUGUGGAAAAACCUGUUUUCAUCCUCACUGUGCCCUGGAUGCCAGGUGUGAAGAUACUUGAUAAAGGCAUUCUGAUCCCUGGCAAUGCUUUAUCACAGAAAACAGCAACUGUAAACAUGAAACCCCUAGACCACUAUCUAGACUGGACCAGUGAUCUCUGGACUGUAGGGUUACA
rnacentral:lncRNA from 1 species